rnacentral:rRNA from 1 species
AAUGAACGCUGGCGGCAUGCUUUACACAUGCAAGUCGAGCGGCAGCGCGGGGGCAACCCUGGCGGCGAGCGGCGAACGGGUGAGUAAUACAUCGGAACGUACCCCGUAGUGGGGGAUAACCCGGCGAAAGCCGGACUAAUACCGCAUAUGCUCUACGGAGGAAAGUGGGGGACCCUGCAGGCAACUGAGGGGCCUCAUGCUAUGGGAGCGGCCGAUGUCCGAUUAGCNGUUGGCGGGGUAAAGGCCCACCAAGGCGACGAUCGGUAGCUGGUCUGAGAGGAUGAUCAGCCACACUGGGACUGAGACACGGCCCAGACUCCUACGGGAGGCAGCAGUGGGGAAUUUUGGACAAUGGGGCAACCCUGAUCCAGCCAUGCCGCGUGCGGGAAGAAGGCCU